rnacentral:lncRNA from 10 species
UGGUCACAUUUUGGAGGACUGAGCUGAGUAAGUGCUGGUCACAUUUUGGAGACAGAGCUGAGUAAGUGCUGGUCACAUUUUGGAGACAGAGCUGAGCAAGUGCUGGUCACAUUUUGGAGACAGAGCUGAGCAAGUGCUGAUCACAUUUUGGAGACAGAGCUGAGCAAGUGCUGGUCACGUUUUGGAGACAGAGCUGAGCAAGUGCUGGUCACGUUUUGGAGACUGAGCUGAGCAAGUGCUGGUCACAUUUUGGAGACUGAGCUGAGCAAGUGCUGGUCACGUUUCGGAGGACUGAGCUGAGCAAGUGCUGGUCACAUUUUGGAGACAGAGCUGAGCAAGUGCUGGUCACAUUUUGGAGGACUGAGCUGAGCAAGCGGCCAGACUUUAUCCUCCAGUGAGGUCGGGAGUAUGUCCAGGUUUGGGGACAGAGACUGGCCAGAGCCACAGAGAGGUGGCUGGAGGGGCUGUUUUUAGGGCAUUCUCAGCAUUGCCAGCAGCUCUCCUCUUGAAGGUCUCUGAGCAGGAUCUGGGGGAUGAUUCCGGAGGGCUGUCCAGGGAAGGUGGCAGAAAUGAAUCCAGAGUGGAGAGUUCCAACUUCCAAGCUGACCAGUUUUGUGACUGAGCAGGGACAACAUGGCAGAGAUUCCUGUAAGUCUUGGGUUAUUUCUGAGUGCUGGUUAUCGUGGCAUCUGAAAAUGUAAAUAAGUGAUGUACCCUGUGGGGUAGCUCUGCUGCAGGCACCCCGGGGACCUGCUGGUGACCCUGCCCUUCUCCUGCUGCGAUCAUCCCAGGCCAGCGUGACACUCAGCAGCGUGGACGUCUCUCUGCAAACGCCCAAAUGCAGUGUAUGAAAUGUCAUCCCUAGAAAUGGCUUCAUUUGGGAUAAAGCUUUGAACUUGCGUGCGUGCCCCGCACCCCGUGGCGGACUGAGUCACUGCUUUGCUGUUGCGGCGUGGUGAGUAAAACUUUCCCAGGGGAGCCGGAGUUGAGUGAGAAAGGGAUGCAGGACACGCAGGAGCUGACACAUCUCUAUGGAUUUAAGUCGCUGUUUCCACAAAUGCUACUCACAUGCCCACACGUGUAGGGCAGGACUGUCACGCGUCCACUCUGCUCAGCUUUCCAGGCCGGAUCUGGUCCCAGCCAUUCUACCUGACCCAGACUCCCCGCACCCCUGCCAUUCCCCCAGCUGCCGUCCUGUGUCUCCUGAUUUCUGCGUUUUUGAUCCUGAGGCUCUCUGCCUCUCUGCCUCCUCCCUGGAGGCCGUGCAAAUCCUGUUCUCCUUCCAGCGGUGAGUUCCUCCUGCUGACCACCUCCCCCGAUGCCCUCCACGCUGCACACUGGGCUGGUCUGCAGAGGUCGAAUGCACUCCCUGGUGACUUACACAUCUCACAAGUGCCCUCCAUCACCUGCUUGUGAACUCCUGACCACAGCAGCCUACUCCAUGUCCCCCUGUGGAUGCUGCAAUGCCCAGCACCACACUGGUGGCUCAAAGACUGCAUGCCUGAGACGGGGUCCAAACCCCUCUUCAACUGUCCUCCAAGCUUCAGGUCCACCGUGACCUCCCCCAACUCUGCUGCAGCUGCCGUGGUGCCAGCCCCCUGCCCCUCUCCUCCACCUCCAUAGAUCAGGCUUCAGUGUCUGGGGACCUGGGGACUGCUGUCCUCCUUCCCAGCAUGAAGUUCUACUGCAAGGGCCACUCUCCCUGUACAGGCCUUCCUGACCCCUCGUCCCUGGAAAGCCCUCUCCAGGGCCCUCGGCCUCGCUGUCUCACAUCACUCGCCUCCCUACCCCACCUCCCUCCUCGCACCUGGGACGCAGGUGCCCUCCGGUCACACCCUUCCAUCCCGUGUGGUGCUGAGCCCCUCACACACACGAGGGGCCCCGGAAUCACCUGCCACGUGAAUAAACAAAGUCAGAUCUGAAAUGCUUAAAAGCAAAUUAAACUUAACUCAUAAAAGGAGAAGAAAAAUGUUCAUUUAGAAAAGUUGUAUCUGUUUUCUUUCCAAAUAAAUUUACUUGUAGGA